ACUCCUACGGGAGGCAGCAGUGGGGAAUAUUGCACAAUGGGGGAAACCCUGAUGCAGCCAUGCCGCGUGUGUGAAGAAGGCCUUGGGUUGUAAAGCACUUUCAGUAGGGAGGAAGGUAGUGUAGUUAACACCUGCACUAUUUGACGUUACCUACAGAAGAAGCACCGGCUAACUCCGUGCCAGCAGCCGCGGUAAUACGGAGGGUGCGAGCGUUAAUCGGAAUUACUGGGCGUAAAGCGCAUGCAGGCGGCCUGUUAAGUCAGAUGUGAAAGCCCGGGGUCUUAACCUCGGAAUUGCAUUUGAAACUGGCAGGCUAGAGUCUUGUAGAGGGGUUAGAAUUUCAGGUGUAGCGGUGAAAUGCGUAGAGAUCUGAAGGAAUACCAGUGGCGAAGGCGGCCCCUGGACAAAGACUGACGCUCAGAUGCGAAAGCGUGGGAGCAAACAGGAUUAGAUACCCCUGGUAGCACAGAG
rnacentral:rRNA from 1 species